UACAGAGGGUGCGAGCGUUGUUCGGAUUCAUUGGGCGUAAAGGGUGCGUAGGGGGCGCCGUAAGUCAGGUGUGAAAUCUCGGGGCUCAACCCCGAAACUGCACUUGAUACUGCGGUGCUCGAGUACUGGAGAGGAGAUUGGAAUUUACGGUGUAGCAGUGAAAUGCGUAGAUAUCGUAAGGAAGACCAGUGGCGAAGGCGAAUCUCUGGACAGUUACUGACACUGAGGCACGAAGGCCAGGGGAGCAAACGGG
rnacentral:rRNA from 1 species